GACGAACGCUGGCGGCGCGCCUAACACAUGCAAGUCGAACGAGCGAGCGAGAGCUUGCUUUCUUGAGCGAGUGGCGAACGGGUGAGUAACGCGUGAGGAACCUGCCUCAAAGAGGGGGACAACAGUUGGAAACGACUGCUAUUACCGCAUAAGCCCACGGUGCCGCAUGGCACAGAGGGAAAAGGAGCAAUCCGCUUUGAGAUGGCCUCGCGUCCGAUUAGCUAGUUGGUGAGGUAACGGCCCACCAAGGCGACGAUCGGUAGCCGGACUGAGAGGUUGAACGGCCACAUUGGGACUGAGACACGGCCCAGACUCCUACGGGAGGCAGCAGUGGGGAAUAUUGCACAAUGGGGGAAACCCUGAUGCAGCGACGCCGCGUGGAGGAAGAAGGUCUUCGGAUUGUAAACUCCUGUUGUUGGGGAAGAUAAUGACGGUACCCAACAAGGAAGUGACGGCUAACUACGUG
rnacentral:rRNA from 1 species